AGUGGCCCUCAUUUAUCAAAAGUGCGUACACCAAAUUUCCAGCGUACACCUGGCGUACACCCAAAACCACGGUGACUUUGAGAUUUAUCAAUAUGGACGUUGGCGUGGUGUACAUGUACGCACGUUUUGAGUUAGUGCGGAAAUGCCCAGAAAAACAAUUGCUAACACCACAAAACGCACUGACAAACUAAAAUAUAUGAUAUAUUAUGACCCACUGUAAAACAAAAAAACAACAACAUAGUAAUUAUUAACUUCAGUGUUUAUUUUUGUGCAACAUGGACUUCAAUGUUUAAUUUGUGUGACUUUACCAAAGCAUUUGAUUUGUAAGCAUAUGUAUUCCUUCAGUUGCGAGCCUGUGCGCUUUACCCUGACGUUUCAGGGUUAUCCCCGGCAGGUGCGCACGGACUGGGUUCGGUAACGAAAGGCUUUCAAUGACCAAAAAAUAAUUCAGACUGACAAAAUAAUAAAAAAUACAUUCUUCUUCUUUUAAAUAAUAAUAAUACAAAUAAUAAUAAUGACAUUCUUCU